rnacentral:rRNA from 1 species
GAUGAACGCUAGCGAUAGGCCUAACACAUGCAAGUUGAGGGGCAGCAUAGAGUAGCAAUACUUUGAUGGCGACCGGCGCACGGGUGAGUAACACGUAUGCAACCUACCUACAUCAGGGGAAUAACCCGGAGAAAUUCGGACUAAUACUGCAUAAUACAGGGAUGCCGCAUGGCAAUAUUUGGUAAAGAUUUAUCGGAUGUAGUUGGGCAUGCGUUCCAUUAGCUAGUUGGUAAGGUAACGGCUUACCAAGGCAACGAUGGAUAGGGGAACUGGGAGGUUUGUCCCCCACACUGGAACUGAGACACGGACCAGACUCCUACGGGAGGCAGCAGUGAGGAAUAUUGGUCAAUGGACGAGAGUCUGAACCAGCCAAAUCGCGUGAAGGAAGACUGCCCUACGGGUUGUAAACUUCUUUUGUACAGGAAUAAAAGACAUUACGUGUAAUGUAUUGCAUGUACUGUACGAAUAAGCAUCGGCUAACUCCGUGCCAGCCGCCGCCGUAA